UGGGAGUUUGAGCACCUCGGUGAUC
rnacentral:piRNA from 1 species